UUAGCUAAUGUUGAAACUGCAUGUGUGUAACCAUGGUAACCAGUGACAGUUUAAAGGCCGUCCGCCGUGUUUACAAACAAAUAAUCCCUCGAUAAUCGUGAUCUAAUUUAAAGGCCACACGGCGUUUUUAAUAUCAGCAAACAAUAAUCAGUCUUCACUGGAAAGCGCUUCCGUCUCCGGAUGGCCCUGAACGCACCGAGCGUGUUGCUUCAUUGUCGUUUGACCGAGUCUGUAAGCGAACACAUCACCAUCCAGAAUGUAACACUAUCUGUCUGUCCGUCUGUCAGGGAGGUUAAGGCGUUUAUGCUCACACACUCCUGAUCUCCACCUGCUCAUGACGGCUACGCUCACACACACACACACACACACCGAACUGACAGUAAACACACACACACACACACACACACACACACGUGGUGUAUGUUCCAUUUAGACUGUAUGUUUACUCUGCAUUAGGAGCUUAAUGAGCUGAUGUCACUUUUUCCAUUUCCCACUAAUGGAGGCAGAAACACUGAGCGAUGGACGGCGGAGGGGAAGCAGCCGCAGAUGAAGAAGGAUGGAUAGAAAGAGAAGGAGGCAACGAGGAAGGAUGAAAAGACUGAUACAAACUGUCACGGUUGACUUCUAGCUUGACCUGAAGUGUAAACAACAGUUUAUCUCCAUCGAGGACAAAUGGACAGCGAAAAUACAGAGCAGGAAGAGACGAGAAAAUCUGGCUCUCGGUGUGUUAGUCAAGAAAACUGUAUGUCAAAAUGGAGGAAACGUAAGAACACCUGCCCUAAACAUCCACUAACAACUCAACCAGGCUGCAACAGGGAAUCCUUCCAGAGAGGCAAAGUAAACACAGCUGAGAGCCACAACUCAACUCUAAGACCACAGAAAGGAUUUCAUACUGAGUUUUUUUUCUUUGCUCAACUUCAGUGCUUAUAAUUAGAAAUAAAAACUCCACAAAUGAGCUAAAAAAGGAGGUUUUAAUUGUAAUACCUUGUGAUAGAGGUCUGUAUGCAAGCAUAUUAAUAGAAAAUUGAGUGGAAGGAAGAAGUGUGGUAGGAAUAGCUGCACCAGCAAUCAGGAGAACUGAAGCAUUAUCGGGAUUGUCAAGUAAAAAUACAUUCAAUAAUUUGGAGAAGCCAUAAUUAUCAACAUUACAAGAAAUAAAGC